CCUCAAGUGACCCUCCCACGUCGGCCUCCCAAAAUGUUGAGAUUGCAGACGUGAGCCACCGCACCCUGUCAGCUCUGACAUUCUUUUUUUUUUUUUUUUUUUUGAGACGGAGUUUCGCCCUUGUUGCCCAGGCUGGAGUGCAAUGGCCCGAUCUCGGCUCACCACAACCUCUACCUCCCGGGUUCAAGUAAUUCUCCUGCCUCAGCUACUCAUGAGGCUGAGGCAGGAGAAUUGCGAGACUCCGUUUCCCAAAAUCAAUACAUAAAUAAAUAAUAAAUAAAAUGGGAAUCAUUGCCACCUGCCAAGGUAGUUGGGGGAAGGAGAGAAUCCGUAAGUUUCCAAUGUCCUGGAAACCUGUCAUUAACUCUUUUCACCCCAGGCCCAGCUACUCCAGACUUCUAUGCUUUGGUGGCCCAGCGGCUGGAACAGCUGGUCCAAGAGCAGCUGAAAUCUCCGCCCAGCCCAGGUGAGGCACAGAGGAGCCCCAGAGAAGGAUGGCGGUGGGAGGAUAGUCAGGGUUCUGCCCCCAGCCAAAUUCUCUUCUGCCUCCAGAAUUACAGGGUCCCCCAUCGACAGAGAAGGAAGCCAUACUGCGGAGGCUGGUGGCCCUGCUGGAGGAGGAGGCAGAAGUCAUUAACCAGAAGGUGAUGGGCAUCUGUCCCACUCCUUGGCAAGGACAGGAGUUGCGGAAUGGUGGGGCACUGGGAUCAGAAGCUGGAUCUGUAUUUUCUUUGGAUGGUCAGGUGGAAAGAGGCUGGGAC
rnacentral:circRNA from 1 species